CCUACGGGUUGCAGCAGUGGGGAAUAUUGCACAAUGGGCGCAAGCCUGAUGCAGCCAUGCCGCGUGUAUGAAGAAGGCCUUAGGGUUGUAAAGUACUUUCAGUUGGGAGGAAGGCGUUGAUGCUAAUAUCAUCAGCGAUUGACGUUACCAACAGAAGAAGCACCGGCUAACUCCGUGCCAGCAGCCGCGGUAAUACGGAGGGUGCAAGCGUUAAUCGGAAUUACUGGGCGUAAAGCGCACGCAGGCGGUUGAUUAAGUUAGAUGUGAAAUCCCCGGGCUUAACCUGGGAAUGGCAUCUAAGACUGGUCAGCUAGAGUCUUGUAGAGGGGGGUAGAAUUCCAUGUGUAGCGGUGAAAUGCGUAGAGAUGUGGAGGAAUACCGGUGGCGAAGGCAGCCCCCUGGACAAAGACUGACGCUCAGGUGCGAAAGCGUGGGGAGCAAACAGGAUUAGAUACCCGUGUAGUC
rnacentral:rRNA from 1 species